CCUUAGAUAGCCUUCGACGCCAUUGCUGCAGCACUUAGGAGUUAUUCUCUGGCUAAAUUAAGAAUAAUAUUUUAAGGUGGAAAUGUAUUCAUCAAGUUGUUUUCUUAAAGAGUAAUAAAAGGGAUUUAUUUCUUUUUGAUUCUAAAACCAUAUGUUUUUGUUUUCAUUUUCCUGAAAAACAGUACAGUGGCGUGGCAGCUCAUGAUAGUUGCCAUUUAAGACUUUAUGUCCGCCCCUUUAAAGAUUUUCGAUAUUUUACCUAGUAGUGUAAUAAAGUAAUUCUUGAUGCAGCUGGUGUUUUACGAUAACGGUACCUUAUUAUGCAGCUGCCGAUUGAUGGUAAAUUUAAGAUCAAUUUACAGGAAACAGGGUAUAUAAGCAGGGUAUUCACUUCAGGCACUUCAGGAGUUCGAAAAGAAGCGUCGAAAUCUUGGCAAAUCUAAGCUCGUGCAGAUAAUUUAUUUCUGAAGAGAUCUAGUAAAAAUUGUAAAUAAAGCGUGUACUAGGAUUUUGACAAGCUAGUGGCACGAAAUCAAUCUAAAGCAAAACAUCGUAAGUUCGCAAAGCUGGAUUCCAUGUCCUUCUUUUCCACAACAAUGCGCGGCCAAAUACAGCAUGGGUGAUUCAAGAAAAAUUCUUGAGGUUGGAUGGUCUGUUUCACCACACCCACCUCACCCCCAAAGACUAUCACCUUUUUGAAUGAGAAAAACCUUCAAUUCUGAGGAGCAAGUCAGUCAGGCUUUCGAAAAUUUCUUCCUGUCCAAACCAAAACCGACAAUUGGAAUAUGAUGAAGCAGUAUCACCAUAAGCCUCUGAAGCAGCGGAUUUCUUCAAAUGAACAAUAAAAGUAAUGAAUUUGGAAGAAGAAUUUUGAGCGCUCCAUGAUUAGCGCCAAAAACAAACGUAUAUGCUUAUUCUCAGAUGGUUGGCAUUUUUACAAAUUAUUGAUAAUAUAUAUGCGCUUAUUCCAUAAAGUCACCAAAUUUCAUAUGUGCACUGGGUAAACCAAUAAUAUUAAAUGGAAAAUUGUUAUUUUAUGUAGAGAAAGGCUGAAAUCAUCGAACUUAUUU